rnacentral:lncRNA from 1 species
UGCAUUAUAAAAAAUAAAUUUAUUUUUAUUUUUAUUUAUUUAUUCACUAGUGCUAGAGUAGGGAAUAAAAAAAUAUUGAUCUAAUUUUUUUCAGCUACGAAUUUUUACCAACACCAGAGUUGAAAUUAUUCGAGCUCGAAUAUUCACUUCCGCCAGAGUCAGGAAUAUUAUAAACAAAUCAUCAUAGCAUAAACGAAUAAAUAUUUAGUAAUUAAAGACAAAACCAACAAUGCAGUUUGCCUUAGACAGAACGUUUAAGGGGUGAUAAUAUCUUUCCUUUUACGUAACCAAUCUCGAACCAUAUAAUCUUUGUUGACCAGUUAGGGUUUCUAGUGACCAUA